AAACCGUCCCCACCCCCUUCUUUCUCUCUCUUAAUCGUCUUCUGCUCUCAACCUCAACCUCAACCUCAACCCUUGCCUCUUCUACUCUCUCACUUCUCAUCCUUGAAAUUUCUAGAUCUACUCCAGGCUUGAAGAUUCUGCCCCAAUUUCAAGAAAUACGACAAAAUAUGAACGAAAUUUAAAGACUUUGAGGUUGUUUAGCGACUGCAAUGGAGGAUAUGCAGCAGCUAUAAAUUUGCAAAUAGAGAGAAGGCUAAAGCUGCAAACUUAAUCCCUCCGUCUGCGGAUCUACUCAUGGAUUUACAUGUUUGGACACCAAAUAUAUAGGUUGUAUCAAUUACAGAGGGCGGUGAACUUACUUAUUGAACUGACUUUGAAUGCAUAUAUGGCUGAUAUAAUUUCAUUGACUUUUCAAUCUUUGUGGAAAUGAUCUUUAAGUUAAGUGACCGUGGUUCUUUAUGCUAAUAUAGGACAGGGAUCUCGAUCAUUACACUAUAACAAUCUGGUUCUUUUUGCUAAUGUAAGAUGUUGCUUGUUGUAGCCAUUAAAUUGUUCCCAAGUUUGGCCCAGAAGAACUUCUCUUGCUUUUCCCACAAGGAUGUGAAUUAAUACAAGGAGACAAAGGUGACCAUCCUCCCAUGGACACACAACUGAGAUUGAUUUGUCUCUUAAUCAAGCCAGACCCAUCUGCUUUUCAUAAUUUGUGGAUGUCGCAGCACUCUGUCAUUGCCAAUUACCGUAAGGUUAAAGUGUCUCAGUCAACUGGUAAACAUAUCCUGCGUUGGAGGAUCAAAUUAGCCAGUUUGUUCUGCUCCAGGUGCAGUAAUAUUGAAUUUGGGAUUAAAAAAACAUUGAUACCUGAAGCCAGCCUAUAUAGUCUUGGGAGUGUGUAUACUGCAUGAAUUUCAUACUGGCCAGGUCUUCUUUGCUGCAAUACACCAAUUCCACAUUAGUAUGACUUCACCAGGCAUUUUCUUGAACUAUCUAUUUGACUGACACGGGAUAUUUUGAUUGAUUAUAUGGGUAGGUUCAGUUGUGUUGCUUGUGAGACACUACAGUACGUCAAUCUAACUAGUUUUGUAGUUGGCUACACAACUACUGCACCAAAGAGUAUGGUGUAAGACCUUCUGUAUAAUGAGCUCAACCUUUUACAUUAAUAGUUGGUUAAUGAAAUUAAGUGAAACUGAGUAAAGUUUAUGACUCAAAAUAUUUGUCUCCAAUACCAAACUUCCAUGAGCUAACAUGGUUGUCAACUAUUGCCGCAAUCAUGUCUUUCGCGUAUUCUACAAUCGGUAUAGGACUAGCACUCGAUAGCAUUCUCUCUGGUAAUUUCUCUGCCCCUACCCUGCUGUUUUGUUAGCAUUAUUUAUGUAUUUAAGAGAAAAUUGACUCGAUUGUGUAGGGAAUGGAGGGAGGACACCCUUAACAGGAAUAGAGAUAAGUUUGGGUACAUCAGCUGCUGAGAAAACACGGAGGAUGUUAAGAUCGAUUUGAGACAUUGCAUUUGCUUACAGGUUUUCUCAAAUCCUUGUUGACAUACAAGUAAUUAUAUUUCCUUGAUGAACUUCAAUUGUGUUUCGAGAUUACAUUUCAAAUGGAAACUACUGUCUGGAUCACAUUUUAAAAGGAAGCUACUCAUUUUUUUGUGAAGACAGAGUGUCCCAUAAGAUUAGGCAGCAAAUUAGUGUUUAGCUUAAAUCCACUGAGGCUAACUGGGACAUGUAUAUUUGUGAUGUUAGUAAGGAAGGAGAAGGAAGGAGAAUGCAGAAAAGUAGAGGAGGAAUAAGGAAGGAAAAAAUUGUGUGAGCAGUUGGUUUCCUCUCUUCUCACUUAUUCCUUUGUAAUUUCUAUUUUAUGUUAAGCUUGCCACCAACCUGAUUAAUAGGUGUAUUGCUACAAUAACAAGAGAACUAAUAAUUACGCUUAAGAUGUCGACGAAAAAGAUUUAGAGUAAUAUGUAGUACAUAUUUUAAAGAUGCUGACUAAAGUUGAGUGUCCUACUUCUUAAUGUGUUGUUUAUGUGACUCUGUUUGAAUUUUCUUUCUCAAAUGACAAGACUAAUUUUCUUCUCCAUGUUCUCUAAUAUAUUUGUUUUAUUAGAAAAAGAACAGAGGCUGCAAGUAUAACACUACUAAUAUAAUGCACACAAUUCUGGUAAGUUUAUUAAUUUGUCAGCCUUGCUAAUCUCGUCUUGUGUCCAAGUGAUUUCAGCCCACCCAUAAAGUCUUCAAGUGAUUUUAGCAUGUGACAUGGAGGAUAUUCGGUGGCUCCAAAUUUACAAAUCGUGAGAUGACAAGAAGCUCCAAACUUGGAUAUUUUAAUGUAAAUUAUGUAGCUUAUGAGCCUUUAUAAAUAAUUGUAUUAGUAUAUAGUACAUCCUACUAUCCUAGCUAUUUAGUUUUUCUAGGUUUCAGUUCUUAGGUUUGAUUUAUAAUAUUUUGUAAUAUUUGGUUAGGAUUUCGGUUAGUGAUAUAGAUGGGUGUAUUUUUGGAUUCUGGUUAGUACCAUACAUGUACGUACUAUGAAUUUUAACUACUUAAGUUUUUAUACGUUAAUUUUAUUGAUAAUUGAAGAUCAAUUAUUCAAAA